rnacentral:lncRNA from 1 species
AAAAUUGUAAAAUGAACACGAGAUUUUUUCGGCCGAAGCCCCAGAGGUGCGGCGACCACUUCUAACACCUAUUCCCCUGUUGAGCAUCCAUUAAAAUGGAUAAAGCUCGGUUGCACUAUAAAGCCCCAAAAAUCAAAUAGUAAAAUACAAGAAUAUUUCAGCAGUACAACAGAAAUAAAGUCACCAAGACUUAUCUUUAAAAUAAGGCACAAAUCACGCCUCACUCCACUAAGGAAUGAAAAUCUGGAUCACAUAGAUCAAUAAAACCGAACUGCCCUCAUAGAAUCACUAAGAUUCAUACACAAUCAACAGAGAAGAGCACCCUACUAUAUGCAUCUAUAGUAUUACACGGUUUCCCAAAUUUACUUGCCGAAAACACUCAAGAAUCGACCCUAAUCCACAAAGGAGAAGGAAGUCUUCACCGAGAAGAGAGAACCCAAGAAGCCGUCUCCAAAACUAAGAAUAAAGUCUCUCUCACAAAUCUGAAAAUCACCAAAAAUGGAGUCUCCACAUAGGAAGAAAACGGUCAGCAAUCUGACCCAAAAACCUAGAAUAUUUCUCCCCAAAAUAAAAGACCCUAAAUCACCAAGAAGAAGGUCUUUUCGCAGAGAAGAAAGAGAGAGCAGAGAUCGGACUUCAAAAAUGAAUUAAUCUCUCAAAAAAUUGAUGUUGCCGUCCCCAGUCAGAAAUCGCACCAGAUUUUUAUAUUGCAAGUCAAUAGAUUAUGAUAUGAUGGAAAUCAUGAUGCCAGGUGUCGAAAUCUGGCUGAAAGUCUCCACUAAAGAAGUUAUUAUUUUGUAAACACAUUUUCUUCAAUUUUGGAAGCACAAUUAACAGCAAAGAACGGUCAGCAGGUUGAAUUCUCAACAAUCUCCACCUUGCUUCCAAAAUUUAAGGCUAUAGUGCACCCACGAGCUUCACCAACAUUUAUAAUGUCAUUUGCUCCAAGUACCUGUACAAUCAAUGAAAAGAAUCAAUAGAUAACAUCUUUAAACAGU